rnacentral:rRNA from 1 species
AUUGAACGCUGGCGGCAUGCCUUACACAUGCAAGUCGAACGGCAGCACGGGUGCUUGCACCUGGUGGCGAGUGGCGAGCGGGUGAGUAAUACAUCGGAACAUGUCCUGUAGUGGGGGAUAGCCCGGCGAAAGCCGGAUUAAUACCGCAUACGAUCUACGGAUGAAAGCGGGGGACCUUCGGGCCUCGCGCUAUAGGGUUGGCCGAUGGCUGAUUAGCUAGUUGGUGGGGUAAAGGCCUACCAAGGCGACGAUCAGUAGCUGGUCUGAGAGGACGACCAGCCACACUGGGACUGAGACACGGCCCAGACUCCUACGGGAGGCAGCAGUGGGGAAUUUUGGACAAUGGGCGAAAGCCUGGUCCAGCAAUGCCGCGUGUGUGAAGAGGGCCUUCGGGUUGUAAAGCACUUUUGUCCGGA